AAUUCGCCCUUAGAGUUUGAUCCUGGCUCAGGAUAAACGCUGGCGGCAUGCCUAACACAUGCAAGUCGAACGGGGUUUAUAUAACAGAACUCUCCGGAGGGAAGUUAUAUAAACCUAGUGGCGGACGGGUGAGUAACGCGUGGGGAACCUGCCCUGUACCGGGGGACAACAGCCAGAAAUGGCUGCUAAUACCGCAUAACCCUGCACUGCCGCAUGGCGGUGCAGGGAAAACUCCGGUGGUACAGGAUGGCCCCGCGUCUGAUUAGCUUGUUGGCGGGGUAACGGCCCACCAAGGCAACGAUCAGUAGCCGGCUUGAGAGAGCGGACGGCCACAUUGGGACUGAGACACGGCCCAGACUCCUGCGGGAGGCAGCAGUGGGGAAUAUUGCACAAUGGGGGGAACCCUGAUGCAGCAAUGCCGCGUGGGUGAAGAAGUACUCCGGUAUGUAAAGCCCUGUCAGCAGGGAAGAAAAUGACGGUACCUGACUAAGAAGCCCCGGCUAACUACGUGCCAGCAGCCGCGGUAAUACGUAGGGGGCGAGCGUUAUCCGGAUUUACU
rnacentral:rRNA from 1 species